UGUUGACCUCAAUCAGGUAGGACUACCCGC
rnacentral:rRNA from 1 species